AUUGAACGCUGGCGGCAGGCUUAACACAUGCAAGUGGAGCGGGGUGAUGGUGCUUGCACUAUCACUUAGCGGCGGACGGGUGAGUAAUGCUUAGGAAUCUGCCUAUUAGUGGGGGACAACAUCUCGAAAGGGAUGCUAAUACCGCAUACGUCCUACGGGAGAAAGCAGGGGAUCACUUGUGACCUUGCGCUAAUAGAUGAGCCUAAGUCGGAUUAGCUAGUUGGUGGGGUAAAGGCCUACCAAGGCGACGAUCUGUAGCGGGUCUGAGAGGAUGAUCCGCCACACUGGGACUGAGACACGGCCCAGAAUCCUACGGGAGGCAGCAGUGGGGAAUAUUGGACAAUGGGGGGAACCCUGAUCCAGCCAUGCCGCGUGUGUGAAGAAGGCCUUAUGGUUGUAAAGCACUUUAAGCGAGGAGGAGGCUCUUUUGGUUAAUACCCAAGAUGAGUGGACGUUACUCGCAGAAUAAGCACCGGCUAACUCUGUGCCAGCAGCCGCGGUAA
rnacentral:rRNA from 1 species